CUUUCCGUGCGGUGCGUCUAGUGAGGCUCCGGUCCUCCUCCUCCUGCCGCAGGGCCAAAACCCCUGACAGUAUACAGCUGCGCUUAAGCCUGGCCAGUGUCAUCUGUGUCCACAAUGCCCCCCAAGAAACAGGCUCAGGCCGGGGGCAGCAAAAAAGCAGAGCAGAAAAAGAAGGAGAAGAUUAUUGAAGACAAAACUUUUGGUUUGAAGAAUAAGAAAGGAGCAAAGCAGCAGAAAUUUAUCAAGGCUGUUACACAUCAGGUUAAAUUUGGUCAACAAAAUCCACAUCAGGUAGCACAGAGUGAAGCUGAAAAGAAAUUGAAGAAGGAUGACAAGAAGAAAGAAUUGCAGGAGCUAAAUGAACUGUUCAAACCUGUAGCUGCUGCUCAAAAAAUAAGUAAAGGUGCAGAUCCCAAGUCUGUGGUAUGUGCAUUCUUCAAGCAAGGACAGUGUACUAAAGGAGAUAGGUGUAAGUUCUCUCAUGACUUGACUCUGGAGAGAAAAUGUGAAAAGUGAAGUGUUUACAUUGAUGCAAGAGAUGAAGAACUUGAAAAAGAUACUAUGGAUAAUUGGGAUGAGAAAAAGCUGGAAGAAGUAGUGAACAAGAAGCACGGUGAGGCGGAAAAGAAAAAACCGAAAACUCAAACAGUGUGCAAGCAUUUCCUUGAAGCUAUUAAAAACAACAAGUAUGGCUGGUUUUGGGUAUGCCCUGGCGGGGGUGAUAUUUGCAUGUAUCGUCAUGCUCUUCCUCCUGGAUUUGUGUUGAAAAAAG